rnacentral:misc_RNA from 1 species
UAGGGCCUGUUGGUUGAUGCUUGUCCGGCGCAGUUCUGUCUGCUUGAUACUUCGGGUUGAUGGCGGACUAGUGAUUGUGCUUCUUGCGGACCGUUUCUGGUGUGUGCUUGGACCUCGGUUCUAGUAUCCUGAUCGCUCAUCUAUCAACCGUACUGUAACCGGUACGACUCAGGGAAUCCGACUGUCUAAUUAAAACAGAGGUGACAGAUGGUCCUUGCGGACGUUAACUGUCACUGAUUUCUCCCCAGUGCAC